AACGAACGCUGGCGGCAUGCCUAACACAUGCAAGUCGAACGAGACCUUCGGGUCUAGUGGCGCACGGGUGCGUAACGCGUGGGAAUCUGCCCUUGGGUUCGGAAUAACUCACCGAAAGGUGUGCUAAUACCGGAUGAUGUCGAAAGACCAAAGAUUUAUCGCCCAGGGAUGAGCCCGCGUAGGAUUAGCUAGUUGGUGAGGUAAAGGCUCACCAAGGCGACGAUCCUUAGCUGGCUGAGAGGAUGAUCAGCCACACUGGGACCGAGACACGGCCCAGACUCCUACGGGAGGCAGCAGUGGGGAAUAUUGGACAAUGGGCGAAAGCCUGAUCCAGCAAUGCCGCGUGAGUGAUGAAGGCCUUAGGGUUGU
rnacentral:rRNA from 1 species